rnacentral:lncRNA from 1 species
ACAUGCAUUGCACGUGAUAGCCCAGGCCAGGAGGUUUCAGGGAAGUUCCCUGCAUAUCUCAACUUGGAGAACCUCAGCUGCUUCUGAAGUCCUUGUGAAGUUGUGAUGUUAACCUCGAUGUCCUGGCCACCUUCCAAUCUUAGGACAAUAGCCUUCGUAUCGCAGAACGACGUUAAUCAUCGUGAGUGAUGGCACUGAGCUGGAGAGAUGAGAGAUGAAAAGAGGGUGGAAGCCCAAGCCAUUUGCGAUGGUUUAAACCAAUCACUUGAAAUCAGACAAUGUCAGUUCAGUUUACUGCACAUUUUUAUGUAAGUAGUCAACGCUGCUAUUAACAGCUGGACUUCAAAGUUCGGAUGGAGCAGGAGUCUUGAGAAGCAAAGCCUUUCCUCAAAUGAAAAGUCUCCUGAGGCAAUGAUGUAUAAACAAGCAAGACCUUCCUCUAACAGAACGAAUCCGUUAUGUGAUGCAACUCUUCCGACCUGGAGAGCCUCUGCAUCAAUAGCAGAACCUUUCUUCUGAGGAGUGGUGAAAGUGCUUCUUCAGUCUCCAGUUGGCUUCCAACUGGGGCUGAAAAGCCAACCUGAGGCAGAGACCUACCGCCUAGUUCUACUCUCCUCCAGAUCUGCCCAAGGUUUUGGGGGAAGAACCUCUGCCUUACCUGGCUCUUUUAAAAAUAAGCCUAAUAAUCAGUUCCCUUUCUCAGCUAUGAAUGUUUAUUCUCUGGGGUUCAGUGGACAAAUGUAGUGGCAUUUCCAUGUUAACAUUUGCAGUGAGGGUUUAGCCCAUGGCUGGCAUGCAGAUCUUCCCAGAGGAGCUGGGAAUGGAGAAUCAAGUCCUCACUGGAUUCAGAAUGAUGCUCACUGAAACAGAUGUGGCAAACUUUGAUAGAAGGCAGCUUGAUUCAGCAAUGAGAACUCUUCAGCCUUAUGUCUUUUGCUCACAUUUGAGUUUUAUGGUCAGUUGAUCUGAUCGAGCAUGCACACAUACCCAGUUAAGUAUAUGGAAGAGAGACAGUGUGAUGGGUCUUGAAGUAACACUGCAUGAAUUAGCCAAGAGUUAAUCACUUUGCUAAAUUAUGAUGAUUAAUAAUACCGUGACAUAGUUACCACUGUGAAGAACUGUUCUAUUUACCUGGUAGCUCUUUUCCAUUAUCUUUUCCAAACAACGGUAUACCAAGAUGGUAACAACUAAGAGUUACGAAAAAAAUGUAUAGGGCAAAAUAAAAGGAGAGGCCAUCAGUGGGAAUUU